CAAACCAAAGCUGGCGACCGGCGCACGGGUGAGUAACACGUAUCCAACCUGCCUCAUACUCGGGGAUAGCCUUUCGAAAGAAAGAUUAAUAUCCGAUAGCAUAUAUUUCCCGCAUGGGUUUUAUAUUAAAGAAAUUCGGUAUGAGAUGGGGGUGCGUUCCAUUAGUUUGUUGGGGGGUAACGGCCCACCAAGACUACGAUGGAUAGGGGUUCUGAGAGGAAGGUCCCCCACAUUGGAACUGAGACACGGUCCAA
rnacentral:rRNA from 1 species